GGCUGAUGUAACGUGAGUCUUAACAGAGACCUGGGUGCAAGUCGUAUAAUUAGCUUGGUAACAAGCUAAUGUAGCCUCACCCGGCUCAGUGUAGUUGCGCUAAUGUGCCUCCGCGCUGUACGAGAGGGCAGGUAUUUACAAAGGAAAACGUGCAGGUGGCGCCAGUAAAUGCGGACUUUCUGAGGCAGCUAAAACCCAAUUUUACAUAACGUUAACAUAAACCACAUUACCUUGAGGUUGUGGUGUAAUCCAGAAAUUGAGACCGGGGAAACCUUGUAGCUAAUGUAAGCAUGCGCAAAAUUGCUAAUAAGCAGCUAACGUUACAUCACUUUGAGUUAGAACAUUUAACCGGCAGUCCCAUCCGCCAAAAUCUUCGGUAUGCUAACGUUAGACAUGCUAACUGGACACCAACAUUACAGAAAUGUAAGCUAACGUUGACAUACUUGCCAGUAAAGGUAUCUCGAGUAACUACCGUACCGGAGCUCUUCUGUGCUGCACGUCAACACUUUGAGACGAACAAGGAGCAUCAAUCUAACGUAAAUGCUUUUCAAUGUAUGUUACAUCUUUAGUUUCAAUGAGCAUGCAUCUAAAAUUGAAUGAAUAAUAUUCCCCAAAUUCCAAUUAACUACACUUCCGGCUGUUACAGAGGGGAAACGCUGUAAUCUGUGAACUUUGAACAGUUCAUAUAUUGUUCAUAGUUUGUAGUUAAAGUUGUAAAAAUAACAACGUGGGGGUACCGACAGGGGGGGGUAUCGACUUUGGGGCACCCCUCCGUCGACCGGACCGUUCGGACCGUCGAGACAAGAGGGCUCGAAAGGGAUGUUUAAAAAUUUGGAUUCAAGAGUUUAAACAUUUCCGACUUGACUGGCCUUGGCGGCCUGAGCCGAAUUUUUGGUUUCCAUUGGGACAAAACUCAAAAAUCGUUCUUUAUUGAUUCUUUAAAGCCUUUGCUUUCAAGAUCAAGAUGAAAGGGUCAUAGAAAAAGAAACGGUACAGCAAAGUGUUUUAUGCACCAUGUGAAGUGGAUGAGCUCCAUCAAUACAAAUACACCGUCCACACACACGUUUACUUUAAAGGCCCAUUUCUAUAUUCUAGAUACCUUCACUGUAAACAUAGACAGGUGACAUCAGGAUUUCUCCAUGUUCCAUGUCCGUGUUCCAAAUUCCAUGCUCCAUGUUCCAUGCUCCAUGUUCCGUGUUCUAUGUUCCAUGUUCCGUGUUCUGUGCUCCAUGUUCCGUGUUCUAUGCUCCAUUCCCCACAGUAUAAGAAACACAGUCUGAGGCACAUUUAGUCAGUUAGUUUCAAACCUCACAUCUGCACACACUGAAGUUUUCCGGACAGAAAACUGCAGAAAGCGAUCGUCACGCCUCAGGAGUCUGAAGAGGAGAUGAAGACGCGUUUUGCUGCACUCAACAGAGCUCGAGACCAACAGGACGUCAUCAGGAAGCCAUCAGGACGUCACGCCAUCAGGACGCCAUCAGGACGUCACGCCAUCAGGACGCCAUCAGGAUGCCACGCCAUCAGGAUGUGCUGAGAGUCGCCCCCUCAGGAGCAGCGCCAGAUCUACGCAUGACUCAGAUAAGCGCACAACACACACACACACACAUACUCAGAGACAAACUAAUAUUUAGAUACACACAUAGACACACUAAUAUUUAGAUACACACAUAGACACAUUCAUAUUUCGAUGUACACAUAGACACGCUAAUAUUUCGAUGUACACAUAGAUCAUUCAUAUUUCGAUGUACACAUAGACACACUACCUGUAAGAGGCGAUUUAUGAUGUAUGGCAGCAUCUGAUUGAUGGGCGGGUCAGCCUAUAUAGGGUAGGAACCUUUGGGGGCUCGGCAGGUGUUUCUAGCCGGAAUGAGAAAAACAUUUUUGACUUUGAAUGUAGAGGCGAAGCCAACGCUUUAAGCCACUGAGGCAUUUUGUCCGGAAACCCUCGUUGACGCGCCGCUGUUGUCCCAUGACGGAUGAAUGAGAGUCUUGUAGUCUUUGUGUUGUUGUAAACAAGUCCACUUAUUUGCCAAUUUUACUCCUGUCACACGUUUACCAUACAUCAUGGGGUACAUGGGAGUGUGGAGGGGGAGAGAGAGGAGUGAUUGAAUAGAUGAAUGAAAUGUGUUGAGAAAUGUACUUUAAGAAAACAGUUUUGGAAGUAUGUUGUAAGGAGGGCAGACAGACCUAAUAGUUGAGUCUGAGAGGUUAACAUAAACUCACAGACGCAUUAACUCCGGAAGGUUAGUAUAAACUUUCGGCAUAAAUUAAUUCUGCGAGGCUAACAUAAGCUCGUGGACAAAAAAAAAAAAAAUUCUGAAAGGUUAGUAUAAACUUUCAGCAUACAUAGAUUCUGCGAGGCUAACAUAAGCUCGUGGACACAAACAUUUUCUCUGGAAGGUUAGUAUAAACUUUCAGAACAUAGCUGUCUGCUCAGGUAAAAUACAUACGAUCUGGUUGACUGUUGUUAAAUGGAAGGUGAAUUUGAUGAAGAAGAGGAGGACGGCGGCUGGGAGUCAGCCUUAGAUCAUAAAUAUUUAGACACACAUAGACACAUUCAUAUUUCGAUGUACACAUAGACACACUAAUAUUUCGAUGUACACAUAGACACACUACCUGUAAGAGGCGAUUUAUGAUGUAUGGCAGCAUCUGAUUGAUGGGCUGGUCAGCCUAUAUAGGGUAGGAACCUUUGGGGGCUCGGCAGGUGUUUCCAGCCGGAAUAAGAAAAAUAGUUUUGACUUUGAAUGUAGAGGCUAAGCCAACGCUUUAAGCCACUGAGGCAUUUUGUCCGGAUAGAUGAAUGAAAUGUGUUGAGAAAUGUACUUUAAGAAAACAGUUUUGGAAGUAUGUUGUAAGGAGGGCAGACAGACCUAAUAGUUGAGUCUGAGAGGUUAACAUAAACUCACAGACGCAUUAACUCCGGAAGGUUAGUAUAAACUUUCAG
ensembl:lncRNA